rnacentral:rRNA from 1 species
GUGCAAUGGCAUAAGCCAGCUUGACUGCGAGCGUGACGGCGCGAGCAGGUGCGAAAGCAGGUCAUAGUGAUCCGGUGGUUCUGAAUGGAAGGGCCAUCGCUCAACGGAUAAAAGGUACUCCGGGGAUAACAGGCUGAUACCGCCCAAGAGUUCAUAUCGACGGCGGUGUUUGGCACCUCGAUGUCGGCUCAUCACAUCCUGGGGCUGAAGUAGGUCCCAAGGGUAUGGCUGUUCGCCAUUUAAAGUGGUACGCGAGCUGGGUUUAGAACGUCGUGAGACAGUUCGGUCCCUAUCUGCCGUGGGCGCUGGAGAACUGAGGGGGGCUGCUCCUAGUACGAGAGGACCGGAGUGGACGCAUCACUGGUGUUCGGGUUGUCAUGCCAAUGGCACUGCCCGGUAGCUAAAUGCGGAAGAGAUAAGUGCUGAAAGCAUCUAAGCACGAAACUUGCCCCGAGAUGAGUUCUCCCUGACUCCUUGAGAGUCCUGAAGGAACGUUGAAGACGACGACGUUGAU